rnacentral:rRNA from 1 species
GACGAACCGUGCGAACGUUGUUCGGAAUCACUGGGCUUAAAGGGCGCGUAGGCGGGCUGUCAAGUCUGGGGUGAAAUCCCACGGCUCAACCGUGGAACUGCCUCGGAUACUGACGGCCUCGAGGGAGGUAGGGGCGUGCGGAACUGUGGGUGGAGCGGUGAAAUGCGUUGAUAUCCACAGGAACUCCGGUGGCGAAAGCGGUGUGCUGGAUCCUUUCUGACGCUGAUGCGCGAAAGCCAGGGGAGCAAACGGG